AUGCAAACAAGAAAAUAAAUGAAAGCAAAAGCUGAAAGAGCUCAUGAAAUCAAAGGAAAAUGCAAAUCAAGUGCAGUUAAUCAAUCUCUGUGAUGAAGCUAAAGAACACCAUGAGUCACUGGUGAAUUCACCACUGCCUGAAAAUUUACUUGACAAGCAAAAUCAGUGGCUUCAACAAAAAAUGGAAACAUUUAAUGGGCUCAUACAAUAUGACCCAGGCCCAAUCUGGCAAAUCAAGGGGAGCGCGCCUCAGCAGUGAAGAGGCUGAUUGAGCUCAGGUGUGUCAGCAUCGUUCUGCUCCGGUGAGUGCGCCUGUGCACGUGUCCUCUUGUGCUGUAGCAGUUGCUGGCCCGCAGUGACAGGAGUGGCUGGUGCAGUGGGAGUUCACUUGUUGUUUUGUGGUUAUCAUUUGUGGUUUGCUGUGGCACUUGUAGUACUGUU